rnacentral:rRNA from 1 species
UGUGACAUACCACUUGUUGCCUCGGCGGAUCAGCCCGCUCCCGGUAAAACGGGACGGCCCGCCAGAGGACCCCUAAAACUCUGUUUCUAUAUGUAACUUCUGAGUAAAACCAUAAAUAAAUCAAAACUUUCAACAACGGAUCUCUUGGUUCUGGCAUCGAUGAAGAACGCAGCAAAAUGCGAUAAGUAAUGUGAAUUGCAGAAUUCAGUGAAUCAUCGAAUCUUUGAACGCACAUUGCGCCCGCCAGUAUUCUGGCGGGCAUGCCUGUUCGAGCGUCAUUUCAACCCUCAAGCACAGCUUGGUGUUGGGACUCGCGUUAAUUCGCGUUCCUCAAAUUGAUUGGCGGUCACGUCGAGCUUCCAUAGCGUAGUAGUAAAACCCUCGUUACUGGUAAUCGUCGCGGCCACGCCGUUAAACCCCAACUUCUGAAUGUUGACCUCGGAUCAGGUAGGAAUACCCGCUGAACUUAAGCAUAU